UGAACCCUGAGGCCCAGCUGGCAGAGCUGCUGUUCAGCUAUGCACCAGGUAGAGGCACAUACCAGUACAGAGACAUCUCCUCUCUAUCCUGUGGUUUCUUCUGAGGGUUCUAGUCAGGGGGUGAUGAACAAGACCACAGGGGCACUGUCUCCCCACCACCCAUCUACACCUCCCACUGCCCACUCCACAUCAAUGAAGGAGACUACAUGACUGCCAUGGAAACGGAAGGUCAUUGAUCCUCACCAGCAGGAAAGGUCCUUUUGCUGCCCAGUCUCUGGAGCUCCCGGAGCCGUACU